GCCCCUAUAACUUAAGGGUUAAAGCUAUAGAUUACUAAUCUAUAAAUCUAGGUUUAAAUCUUAGUAGGGGUG